rnacentral:rRNA from 1 species
UCUAAGUAUAACCUGCCAGACAGGGAAACUGCGUACGGCUCAUUACACCAGCCUUAAUUUACUUGACCUUGACGACCUACUUGGAUAACUGUGGUAAUUCUAGAGCUAAUACAUGCACCAAAGCUCCGAUCCUCGCGGAGAGGAGCGCAUUUGUUCGCCACAAAACCAAGCGCCCAUCUGGGCGUCCAGUGCUGAACCAGAACAACUCAGCUGAUCGCACGGUCUUGUACCGGCGACGUGUCUUUCAAGUGUCUGCCUUAUCAACUUUCGAUGGUAGUGUACCUGACUACCAUGGUUGUGACGGGUAACGGAGGAUAAGGGUUCGACUCCGGAGAAGGGGCCUGAGAAAUGGCCACUACGUCUAAGGAUGGCAGCAGGCGCGCAAAUUACCCACUCUCAACGCGAGGAGGUACUGACGAGAAAUAACGAGACCGUUCUCAUACGAGGCCGGUUAUUGGAAUGGGUACAAUUUAAA